rnacentral:tRNA from 1 species
CUCCUGGUGGUUCAGUUGGUAAAGAAUCUGCCUGUAAUGCAGGAGACCCAGGUUCAAUCUCCGGGUCAGGAUG